rnacentral:rRNA from 1 species
GUAGGAUCCGAGCGUUAUCCGAAUUUACUGGCGUAAAGCGCGUGCAGGCGGUUUGAUAAGUUGGAUGUGAAAGCUCCCGGCUCAACUGGGAGAGGCCGUUCAAAACUAUCAGACUAGAGGACGGUAGAGGGAGGUAGAAUUCCCGGUGUAGUAGUGAAAUGCGUAGAUAUCGGGAGGAAUACCAGUGGCGAAGGCGGCCUCCUGGACCGUUCCUGACGCUCAGACGCGAAAGCUAGGGGAGCGAACGGGAUUAGAAACCCCGGUAGUCCUAGCCGUAAACGAUGCAAACUUGGUGUUGGUGGGGUAAAAUCCGCCGGUGCCGAAGCUAACGCGAUAAGUUUGCCGCCUGGGGACCACGGCCGCAAGGUUA